GCUGGGCCCAGUGGACUAUGCCUGUAAUCCCAGCAGCUCAGGAGGCUGAGGCAGGAGGAUCUCAAGUUCAAAGCCAACCUCAGCAAAAGUGAGGUGCUAAGCAACUCAGUGAGACCCUGUCUCUA
rnacentral:sRNA from 1 species